CACAGGUGAACCAACACCUGUCUGACACACCUGCAAUGCAGACAGGUGUGUGCACCUGGUAGAAGGUGUGUGUAGAAGGUGUGUGCAGAUGGUAGAAGGUGUGUGUAGAAGGUGUGUGCAGAUGGUAGAAGGUGUGUGUAGAAGGUGUGUGCAGAUGGUAGAAGGUGUGUGUAGAA